UGCCAGACUCCUACGGGAGGCAGCAGUGGGGAAUAUUGCACAAUGGGGGAAACCCUGAUGCAGCGACGCCGCGUGAAGGACGAAGUAUUUCGGUACGUAAACUUCUCUCAGCAGGGAAGAAAAUGACGGUACCUGACCAAGAAGCCCCGGCUAACUACGUGCCAGCAGCCGCGGUAAUACGUAGGGGGCAAGCGUUAUCCGGAUUUACUGGGUGUAAAGGGAGCGUAGACGGCCAUGCAAGUCUGAUGUGAAAACCCGGGGCCCAACCCCGGGAGUGCAUUUGAAACUGCCAUGCUGGAGUGCCGGAGAAGUAAGCGGAAUUCCUAGUGUAGCGGUGAAAUGCGUAGAUAUUAGGAGGAACACCAGUGGCGGAGGCGGCUUACUGGACGGUAACUGACGCUGAGGCUCGAAAGCGUGGGGAGCAAACAGGAUUAGAUACCCCGGUAAUC
rnacentral:rRNA from 1 species